GUGGUUUUGAGUGACGUAUGCUGUAUAAAUCUGCCUAACAACAGAAGAGGGGGUGGUACAAUGCUCACCUCUAUAAAACCUUUGUCUAAUUAUUGUAAGUUCAGUUCGACGCUGAAUCUGUACAGCGUUCGGACUCCGCACGUGUGUAUUCAUUAAAAUGCCGUCUAAAUUGCACACGCCUGGAUCUGUGGUUAUUUAUGGAUUCCUCUCUCAACAUUGAACCCUAACAUUUGGGGGCUCGUUCCGGCCUGGAGGAGAGUGAACUGACGGCGCUGACAAAAUUACCAAGUACGAAAAUCAGGUGGGCUUUACAGAAUUAUAAAUUGGCUGAGAAGGAGACCUGAUUGGCGAAUUGUGCCGAAGUACUUAGAGGAAGUGCACCAGAUCUCCCAGAGGGAAGCGAUAGCGAAGACGAGCUGAGGGGAAGCACCGACCCGAAGACAAUGUUCUUUAAAACUAUGUUAAAGGUUGUUGACAGAACAUUUGUGGUUUUGAGUGACGUAUGCUGUAUAAAUCUGCCUAACAACAGAAGAGGGGGUGGUACAAUGCUCACCUCUAUAAAACCUUUGUCUAAUUAUUGUAAGUUCAGUUCGACGCUGAAUCUGUACAGCGUUCGGACUCCGCACGUGUGUAUUCAUUAAAAUGCCG
ensembl:lncRNA